rnacentral:misc_RNA from 1 species
GAUGAAGAACGCAGCGAAAUGCGAUAAGUAAUGUGAAUUGCAGAAUUCAGUGAAUCAUCGAAUCUUUGAACGCACAUUGCGCCCGCCAGUAUUCUGGCGGGCAUGCCUGUCUGAGCGUCAUUUCAACCCUCAAGCAACUUCUGCUUGGUGUUGGGGAUCGGCCGUUAAACGCCGCCCCCGAAAUCUAUUGGCGAUCUCGCUGUAGCUUCCUAUGCGUAGUAGUAACAUCUCGCAUCUGGAGAGCGGCGCGGUCAUGCCGUAAAACACCCAACUUCUCAGGUUGACCUCAGAUCAGGUAGGAAUACCCGCUGAACUUAAGCAUAUCAUAAGCGGAGGA